rnacentral:rRNA from 1 species
UACGUAGGGGGCUAGCGUUGUCCGGAAUCAUUGGGCGUAAAGCGCGUGUAGGCGGUCCGGUAAGUCUGCUGUGAAAGUCGGGGGCUCAACCCUCGAAUGCCGGUGGAUACUGUCGGGCUAGAGUGCGGAAGAGGCGAGUGGAAUUCCUGGUGUAGCGGUGAAAUGCGCAGAUAUCAGGAGGAACACCCGUAGCGAAGGCGGCACUCUGGGCCGAUACUGACACUGAGGAGCGAAAGCGUGGGGAGCGAACAGG